rnacentral:rRNA from 1 species
AAUCAUCCACAAUGGGCGAAAGCCUGAUGGAGCGACGCCGCGUGAGUGAAGAAGGUUUUCGGAUCGUAAAACUUUGCUUGAAGGGAAGAACAAGUAAAGUAGUAACUGGAUGUACCUUGAAGGUACCUUAUUAGAAAGCCACGGCUAACUACGUGCCAGACUCCGCGGUAAUACGAAGGGGGCAAGCGUUGUCCGGAAUUAUUGGGCGUAAAGCGCGCGCAGGCGGUACUUUAAGUCUGAUGUGAAAGCCCACGGCUCAACCGUUGAGGGUCAGUGGAAACUGGGGGACUUGAGUGCAGAAGAGGAAAGUGGAAAUCCAAGUUGAGCGGUGAAAUGCGUAGAAAUUUGGAGGAACACCAGUGGCGAAGGCGACUUUCUGGUCUGUAACUGACGCUGAGGCGCGAAAGCGUGGGGAGCAAACAGG